rnacentral:lncRNA from 1 species
CCUGGAGUGGCCUAGCCAGUCUCAACCCCAUAGAAAAUCUUUGAGGGAGUUGAAAGUCCGUGUUGCCCAGCAACAGCCCCAAAACAUCACUGCUCUAGAGGAGAUCUGCAUGGAGGAAUGGGCCAAAAUACACAACAAGUGUGUGAAAACCUUGUGAAGAAGACUUACAGAAAACGUUUGAACCUCUGUCAUUGCCAACAAAGGGUAUAUAACAAAGUAUUGAGAUGAACUUUUGUUUGACCAAAUACUUAUUUUCCCCCCAUAAUUUGCAAAUAAUUUCAUAAAAAAAUCCUACAAUGUGAUUUUCUGGAUUUUUUUUCUCAUUAAUAAUAUAUAUAUAUUAUAUUAUAUAUAUCUGUCAGUGUACCUAUGAUGAAAUUUACAGGCCUCUCAUCUUUUUAAGUGGGAGAACUUGCACAAUUGGUGGCUGACUAAAUACUUUUUUGCCCACUGUAGGUAUUUUCAGAUUAUUUUUUUGCAUGGGGGUGGGUGGGCUUCUAAACGUAUAGAAGUUAAUAGAAAUAGAAAAUAGAAGGAGGAGGGAGGGGUUGGGUUGGUUCGUCUAGUGUGGGGAGUCUACAGCAGGGAUGGCAACUGUCAGGGACCGAAGUGUCUCGAGGGUCAGUGUACCCCAUCAUGCAGGGCCGAAGUGGCUCGAGGGUCAGCGUACCCAUCAUGCAGGGCCGAAGUGGCUCGAGGGUCAGCGUUCCAUCAUGCAGGGCCGAAGUGUCUCGAGGGUCAGCGUUCCCAUCAUGCAGGGCCGAAGGUCUCGAGGGUCAGCGUAACCAUCAUGCAGGGUCGAAGUGUCUCGAGGGUCAGCGUAACCAUCAUGCAGGGUCAAAGUGUCUCGAGGGUCAGCGUACCCAUCAUGCAGGGCCGAAGUGGCUCGAGGGUCAGCGUUCCCAUCAUGCAGGGCCGAAGUGGCUCGAGGGUCAGCGUUCCCAUCAUGCAGGGCCGAAGUGGCUCGAGGGUCAGCGUUCCCAUCAUGCAGGGCCGAAGUGGCUCGAGGGUCAGCAUUCCCAUCAUGCAGGGCCAAUUCCACACAUUUUCAGGUGGGGAGAAAUGUUUGCAGUUUUUAAUAUAUCUGAAUGA